rnacentral:rRNA from 1 species
GACGACCUCUGGUGGCCUGCAUUAACGCAUGUCUGUCAAACGGAAAGGUUUUUUCUGAGGUACUCCAAUGUCGAAAGGGUGAUUAACACUUGGGUGAUCUUGCCCUGCACUCUGUUGAUAAUCCUGGGAUACUGGCCUCUAAUACCUGAUAGGACCGCACUUUAUUGUGUGUGGUGGAAAGUUUUUUCGGUGAAUGAUGAGCCCCCCCCCUAUCAUCUUGUUGGUGGGGUAAUGGCCUACCAAAGCGGCCACGGGUAGCCGGACUGAAAGGUUGGUCGGCCACCUUGGGACUGAGAUACAGCCCACACUCCUACGGGAGGCAGUCAUGGGGAAUAUUGCACAAUGGGCGCUCGCCUGAUGCAAGGGACAACCACCUGUCGGAUGACGGCCUUCAGGAUGUAAACUCCUUUCACCGUUGACCAAGCUUUUUGUGACUGUACCUGAAGAACAAGCACCUGCUAACUACCUGCCACCUUCCUCUGAAAUACAUACGGUGCAACCGUUGCCCCGAAUUACUGGCUGUAUGCAGCUCGUAGGUGGUUUGUCACGUCGUGUGUGAAAUUCCACAGCUUAACUGUGGGAGCGCAUGCGAUACUGGCUGACUUGAGUACUGUAGGGGUAACUGGAAUUCCUGGCGUAGCGGUGAAAUGCCCAAAUAUCAGGAGGAACACCGAUGGCAAAGGCACGUUACUGGUCAGUUACUGACCCUAAGGAGCGAAAGCAUGGGUAGCAAACAGGAUUAGAUACCCUGGCAGUCCAUGCCGUAAACGGUGGGCGCUAGGUGUAGGGGCCUUUUGGGGUUUGUGUGCCGUAGCUCACGCAUUAAGCGCCCCGCCUGGGGAGUACGGCCGCAAGGCUAAAACUCAAAGGAAUUGACGGGGGCCCGCACAAGCGGCGGAGCAUGUGGAUUAAUUCGAUGCACCGCGAAGAACCUUACCUGGGCUUGACAUACUCCAGAUCGGUGCAGAGAUGUAGUUUCCCUUGUGGCUGGUGUACAGGUGGUGCAUGCCUGUCGUCAGCUUGUGUCGUGAGAUGUUGGGUUAAGUCCCGCAACGAGCGCAACCCUUGUCUUAUGUUGCCAGCACGUUAUGGUGGGGAUUCAUGAGAGACUGCCGGGGUUGACUCGGAGGAAGGUGGGGACGACGUCAAGUCAUCAUGCCCCUUAUGUCCCGGGCUUCACACUUGCUACACAUGGCCGGAACCAUGCGCAGCGAGCCUGUGAGGGUGAGCUAAUCGCUUAAAGCUGGUCUUAGUUCGGAUUGGGGUCUGCAACUUGACCCCAGCAAGUUGGUGUUGUUAGUAAUCGCAGAUCAGCAAUGAGGCGGUGAAUACGUUCCCGGCCUU